rnacentral:tRNA from 1 species
UAUAUUUUAGUGUAUGAUGCACAUAGAGUUUUGAUUUCUAAAGAUUAGUUUAAUUCUAAAAAGUAUAA